rnacentral:rRNA from 1 species
GAUGAACGCUAGCUACAGGCUUAACACAUGCCAGUCGAGGGGAAACGGCAUCGAAAGCUUGCUUUUGAUGGGCGUCGACCGGCGCACGGGUGAGUAACGCGUAUCCAACCUGCCCAUCACUUGGGAAUAACCUUGCGAAAGUAAGACUAAUGCCCAAUGACAUCCCACGAAGGCAUCCGAAUGGGACUAAAGAUUUAUCGGUGAUGGAUGGGGAUGCGUCUGAUUAGCUUGUUGGCGGGGUGACGGCCCACCAAGGCAACGAUCAGUAGGGGUUCUGAGAGGAAGGUCCCCCACAUUGGAACUGAGACACGGUCCAAACUCCUACGGGAGGCAGCAGUGAGGAAUAUUGGUCUAUGGGCGAGAGCCUGAACCAGCCAAGUAGCGUGCAGGAAGGCGGCCCUAUGGGUUGUAAACUGCUUUUAUAAGGGAAUAAAGUGGGUCACGUGUGACUUUUUGCAUGUACCUUAUGAAUAAGGACCGGCUAAUUCCGUG